GAUGAACGCUGGCGGCGUGCCUAAUACAUGCAAGUCGAGCGAACAGACGAGGAGCUUGCUCCUCUGACGUUAGCGGCGGACGGGUGAGUAACACGUGGAUAACCUACCUAUAAGACUGGGAUAACUUCGGGAAACCGGAGCUAAUACCGGAUAAUAUAUUGAACCGCAUGGUUCAAUAGUGAAAGACGGUUUUGCUGUCACUUAUAGAUGGAUCCGCGCCGCAUUAGCUAGUUGGUAAGGUAACGGCUUACCAAGGCAACGAUGCGUAGCCGACCUGAGAGGGUGAUCGGCCACACUGGAACGGAGAAACGGUCCAGACCCCUACGGGAGGCAGCAGUAGGGAAUCUUCCGCAAUGGGCGAAAGCCUGACGGAGCAACGCCGCGUGAGUGAUGAAGGUCUUCGGAUCGUAAAACUCUGUUAUUAGGGAAGAACAAAUGUGUAAGUAACUAUGCACGUCUUGACGGUACCUAAUCAGAAAGCCACGGCUAACUACGUG
rnacentral:rRNA from 1 species